UGUGGGAGCGGGCUUGCUCGCGAAUGCGGUGGAACAGUCAGUAUAUCUGUUACUGAUAAACCGCAUUCGCGAGCAAGCCCGCUCCCACA
rnacentral:misc_RNA from 1 species